CAGCUACUCAGUUAAAUGUGAAUUUUAUGUAAAAAAUGGAUAACUUUUUAGUGUAAGUAUGUCUCAUGCAAUAUUUUGGAGAUACUUAUGCUAAAAAUUAUUCAUUGUUCAUAUGAAAUUCAUGUUUAACUGGGCAUUCUGUA
rnacentral:miRNA from 1 species